rnacentral:rRNA from 1 species
UACAGAGGGUGCAAGCGUUAAUCGGAGUUACUGGGCGUAAAGGGCGCGUAGGCGGUUAUUUAAGUUUGAUGUGAAAUCCCUGGGCUUAACCUAGGAACUGCAUCAGAUACUGGGUAACUAGAGUAUUGUAGAGGGUAGUGGAAUUUCCGGUGUAGCGGUGAAAUGCGUAGAGAUCGGAAGGAACACCAGUGGCGAAGGCAGGUCUCUGGGCAUUAACUGACGCUGAGGAGCGAAAAGCUGGGGAGCGAACAGG